UACAGAGGGUGCGAGCGUUAAUCGGAAUUACUGGGCGUAAAGCGCACGUAGGUGGCGACGUAAGUCGGGUGUGAAAGCCCCGGGCUCAACCUGGGAAUUGCAUUCGAGACUGCAUUGCUGGAGUACGGAAGAGGAGGGCGGAAUUCCCGGUGUAGCGGUGAAAUGCGUAGAUAUCAGGGGGAACACCCGUGGCGAAGGCGGCCAGCUGGGCCGACUCUGACGCUGAGGCGCGAAGGCGUGGGGAGCGAACGGG
rnacentral:rRNA from 1 species